rnacentral:rRNA from 1 species
UUUCCAGACUCCUACGGGAGGCAGCAGUGAGGAAUAUUGGUCAAUGGGCGGGAGCCUGAACCAGCCAAGUCGCGUGAGGGAUGACGGCCCUAUGGGUUGUAAACCUCUUUUGCCGGGGAGCAAAGUGCCGCACGUGUGCGGUUUGGAGAGUACCCGGAGAAAAAGCAUCGGCUAACUCCGUGCCAGCAGCCGCGGUAAUACGGGGGAUGCAAGCGUUAUCCGGAUUUAUUGGGUUUAAAGGGUGCGUAGGCUGUGAGGUAAGUCAGCGGUGAAAUGCCCCCGCUCAACGGGGUGAAGUGCCAUUGAUACUGCCUUGCUGGAAUGCGGAUGCCGUGGGAGGAAUGUGUGGUGUAGCGGUGAAAUGCAUAGAUAUCACACAGAACACCGAUUGCGAAGGCAUCUCACGAAUCCGCGAUUGACGCUGAUGCACGAAAGCGUGGGUAUCAAACAGGAUUAGAUACCCCCGUAGU